CAUGCAGGCGGUUUGUUAAGUCAGAUGUGAAAGCCCGGGGCUCAACCUCGGAACCGCAUUUGAAACUGGCAGGCUAGAGUCUUGUAGAGGGGGGUAGAAUUUCAGGUGUAGCGGUGAAAUGCGUAGAGAUCUGAAGGAAUACCAGUGGCGAAGGCGGCCCCCUGGACAAAGACUGACGCUCAGAUACGAAAGCGUGGGUAGCAAACAGGAUUAGAUACCCUGGUAGUCCACGCCGUAAACGCUGUCUACUUGGAGGUUGAGGUUUAGACUUUGGCUUUCGGCGCUAACGCAUUAAGUAGACCGCCUGGGGAGUACGGCCGCAAGGUUAAAACUCAAAUGAAUUGACGGGGGCCCGCACAAGCGGUGGAGCAUGUGGUUUAAUUCGAUGCAACGCGAAGAACCUUACCUACUCUUGACAUCCAGUGAACUUUCCAGAGAUGGAUUGGUGCCUUCGGGAACACUGAGACAGGUGCUGCAUGGCUGUCGUCAGCUCGUGUUGUGAAAUGUUGGGUUAAGUCCCGCAACGAGCGCAACCCUUAUCCUUGUUUGCCAGCACGUAAUGGUGGGAACUCCAGGGAGACUGCCGGUGAUAAACCGGAGGAAGGUGGGGACGACGUCAAGUCAUCAUGGCCCUUACGAGUAGGGCUACACACGUGCUACAAUGGCAGAUACAGAGGGCAGCGAAGCUGCGAAGUGGAGCGAAUCCCUUAAAGUCUGUCGUAGUCCGGAUUGGAGUCUGCAACUCGACUCCAUGAAGUC
rnacentral:rRNA from 1 species